CCUACGGGUUGCAGCAGUGGGGAAUAUUGCACAAUGGGGGAAACCCUGAUGCAGCCAUGCCGCGUGUGUGAAGAAGGCCUCCGGGUUGUAAAGCACUUUCAGCGAGGAGGAAGGCAUUAAGGUUAAUAACCUUGGUGAUUGACGUUACUCGCAGAAGAAGCACCGGCUAACUCCGUGCCAGCAGCCGCGGUAAUACGGAGGGUGCAAGCGUUAAUCGGAAUUACUGGGCGUAAAGCGCACGCAGGCGGUCUGUCAAGUCGGAUGUGAAAUCCCCGGGCUCAACCUGGGAACUGCAUUCGAAACUGGCAGGCUAGAGUCUUGUAGAGGGGGGUAGAAUUCCAGGUGUAGCGGUGAAAUGCGUAGAGAUCUGGAGGAAUACCGGUGGCGAAGGCGGCCCCCUGGACAAAGACUGACGCUCAGGUGCGAAAGCGUGGGGAGCAAACAGGAUUAGAUACCCCCGUAGUC
rnacentral:rRNA from 1 species